ensembl:lncRNA
CUUGAAUAUUGAGAGUCAGUUCAAUGGGUCUUAGCUGAUGACUGAUGAAGGAUAUCCUUGCAGGAUCGUUGGAGAGAGGGAACCAGGAACUAUGGAGAACAACGCAGGGGAAAUAACACAGGUCAAUACACACAGAGUCUGGAUACAGUUCGGGUUGGUGAACGGUAGACCGGAUGCUGAAACAAUGUGGGGAUGUCUCUUGGUUUCCCAAGAAGGGAACAAGGUGCUGCUUCCAAAUGGUGAUACUAUGGGGAAUGCCUCUGCAUGAUUCUGUCUGACACACAUGUGCAACGACUCCGAUUCUGAUUGGAAGAAGUAAGACUCUACAGUGAAAAGUACAUUCCAGGGCCCAGUUUAUGCCGGGGCCCCUCUCUGACCACAAUAGUGGAAAAAGCUUUGCUGCAAAUUGUCCAAUGCCAUCAAAUAAAGAUGCUAGAACAAAAGCCA